CACAUACAAAAAAAAAAAAAAAAAAAAAAAAACACAAAAAAACCCUCCGGCAACAAAACUCAGAAGCCAGCUCUACUUGUAAGAUUUUAAAGUCUCAGGAUAUCUAAGCUUGCUUUCUGCAAGGACAUGUUUUCAAUGACUAAUUAAUUAAUUAAUUAAAAUAAACGGCAGGAAGAGAAAAAUAAGAUAAGCAGUAACAAACUAAAAUAAUAUGGACCUCAAUUGUGAUGUUGCAACACACCCCACCUCCCCCAAUAAAAGCAACACAGUGUACUCGUUACACGAUGCUCCAAAUCUGCACUGUGCUAGGCUCUCCGCAGGGCUCUGGACAAUGCACCCUUAUUCAGACUAUUCCCUGAAUGUGAAAAAGUGCAUUUGAAGCUUAUUUGAAUUUCUUCACGGCAGCGUAAAAGAGACUUAUUUUUGGAGUACUAUGAAGGCCCAAACCAGAAAUUACUGGCAACCGUCACGUUCCCACAAUCUGAACCAGGUAUUCUCCGGACUGUUUUACAAUACAACCAACUAAACAUAAACGGAUAAAACGAAGCGUCCAGGAGGAGCAUGGAAGGCACACCGGCCCUGUUGUUGGCUUUAUAAACUGGGACCCUAACCCCAAUAAUCCAGGGGACAGAGUAAGAGGUCGGCCGGGGCCUGGAAGACUAAACCGUCCAGCCCGAGGUCAAAGGAGAAAAACCCAGCAGGCUGCAGGGCGUCGGGGACGGAGCCCGUGCACCCCGGAAGCCGACCGCAUCCCACUGUUUUCGGCCUGAGACAAAAGAUGGAAAGCAAGGCGCCGCCGCCCCUUUGCGCCCAACCCAGCGAGCCAGCCUUUGGGUCUGGGGUCGCGAUGGCCGCGCGGGCUCCAUCCACAGCACCCUGCGGCCCGCGGGGGCUCCGGCUCCCGGCCUGCCUCCCUGCACACAGGGCGCCGCCCGCCGCGAGGGAAGAUGGCGGCCGCCGAGCAACUGCGCCACCAGCCCUGGCCGCAGGCCAGGCCCAGCGCCAUCUUAGCGCCCUCCGCCCGCCGCCCCCACCCUGAGAAGCCACUGUCGGGGCGACUCGGGAAGGGGGGGGGAGCGCGAAGCCCUCUCGGCUAAAAAAGUUAAAAAUAAGACCAAAGACAAGAACAAAAAAAAAAAAAAUUAAGCAAAAAGCCACUCUCAAAAGCCAC